CCCUAUUAUUGGAUUAACUAUUAAUAAUUAUUAUAUAUUAUGAAAUUUAAAAAUUUUGGCAGUUGAUUGAAAUUUUAGAGGAGCUUGUUUUGUAAAUGAGAAUUUGCUCUUUAUAUUUUAUUAAAUUGAAGGUUUAUUCAUCUCCGUUAUUAGAAACUAAUUGUAAUAAAUUAAUUUUUAAUUUCAGGUCAAGAUGUAGCUUAAAUUAAUAUAAAUUAGCUACAUUUUAUUAUAAACGGAUUUAUUAAGGUAAAAUUUUUUAGAUGAAGUUGAAUUUAAUUGUAAUAAUAAAAAGGAUAUUAUUAUGAAGAAUGAAGAUUAAUGUA
rnacentral:rRNA from 1 species